GAUGAACGCUGGCGGCGUGCUUAACACAUGCAAGUCGAACGGAAAGGCUCCUGCUUGCAGGGGUACUCGAGUGGCGAACGGGUGAGUAACACGUGGGUGAUCUGCCCUGCACUUCGGGAUAAGCCUGGGAAACUGGGUCUAAUACCGGAUAGGACGAUGGUUUGGAUGCCAUUGUGGAAAGUUUUUUCGGUGUGGGAUGAGCUCGCGGCCUAUCAGCUUGUUGGUGGGGUAAUGGCCUACGAAGGCGUUGACGGGUAGCCGGCCUGUGAGGGUGUACGGCCACAAUGGGACUGAGAUACGGCCCAGACUCCUACGGGAGGCAGCAGUGGGGAAUAUUGCACAAUGGGCGCAAGCCUGAUGCAGCGACGCCGCGUGGGGGAUGACGGCCUUCGGGUUGUAAACUCCUUUCGCUAGGGACGAAGCGCAAGUGACGGUACCUGGAGAAGAAGCACCGGCUAACUACGUG
rnacentral:rRNA from 1 species